UUUAAAGUCUAAUCUGCCCUAUGAGGAAUUAAAUGGCCGCGGUACUUUGACUGUGCAAAGGUAGCAUAAUAAUUAGUUUUUUAAUUGAAAGCUGGAAUGAAUGAUUGGACGAGAAAAUAGCUGUCUCAAUUUAAUUUUAUUAGAAUUUUAUUUUUAAGUUAAAAAGCUUAAAUAUUUUUAAAAGACGAGAAGACCCUAUAGAGUUUUAUAAUUAUUUGAGUAUAGAUUUUUUAGUAAUAUUUUAUUGAUACUUAAUUAAUUAUUUUAUUGGGGUGAUAGAAAAAUUGAAUUAACUUUUUCAUUUGAUUAACAUUAAUUUGUGAAUUUUUGAUCCAUUAUUUAUGAUUAAAAGAUUAAGUUACCUUAGGGAUAACAGCGUAAUGUUUUUUAAGAGUUCUUAUCGAAAAAAUAGAUUGCGACCUCGAUGUUGGAUUAAAAUUUAUAUAGGGUGUAGAAGCUUUAUAAUUGGGUCUGUUCGACCUUUAAAAUUUUACA
rnacentral:rRNA from 1 species